rnacentral:snRNA from 1 species
GGAUGUGAGGCCAUCUGGCUGCAGCAUGUGUCUCCCAGUUGCUUGCUAGGGUUGAUUUGGCUGAUCCGGCUGGCUAGGCACGGGUCCCUUUCCUCCCUCACCUCUCCAUGUACAUCCCUUCCCAAAUCAACCAUCCCCAGUAGAGGAGGACCAGUUUUCAGCCAAGAGUACACAACUAGCUGGGCUCCUCUGCUACCACCUUCAAACAAGCUCUCAGUCCCCGGAAUCUGACCUUAUUUGAAAAGAGGGUCUUUACAGAGGUAAUCAAUUUUAAAUGAGGUCAUGAGGGUGAACCCUAAU